rnacentral:tRNA from 1 species
GCGCCCUUAGCUCAGUCGGAUAGAGCAACAGCCUUCUAAGCUGUGGGUCGGUGGUUCGAAUCCACCAGGGCGCGCCA